rnacentral:rRNA from 1 species
UACGAAGGGGGCUAGCGUUGCUCGGAAUCACUGGGCGUAAAGCGCACGUAGGCGGCUUUCUAAGUCAGGGGUGAAAUCCUGGAGCUCAACUCCAGAACUGCCUUUGAUACUGGAGAGCUUGAGUCCGGAAGAGGUGAGUGGAACUCCGAGUGUAGAGGUGAAAUUCGUAGAUAUUCGGAAGAACACCAGUGGCGAAGGCGGCUCACUGGUCCGGUACUGACGCUGAGGUGCGAAAGUGUGGGGAUCAAACAGGG